AUUGAACGCUGGCGGCAGGCCUAACACAUGCAAGUCGAGCGGAUGAAGGGAGCUUGCUCCUGGAUUCAGCGGCGGACGGGUGAGUAAUGCCUAGGAAUCUGCCUGGUAGUGGGGGCUAACGUCCGGAAACGGGCGCUAAUACCGCAUACGUCCUGAGGGAGAAAGUGGGGGAUCUUCGGACCUCACGCUAUCAGAUGAGCCUAGGUCGGAUUAGCUAGUUGGUGGGGUAAAGGCCUACCAAGGCGACGAUCCGUAACUGGUCUGAGAGGAUGAUCAGUCACACUGGAACUGAGACACGGUCCAGACUCCUACGGGAGGCAGCAGUGGGGAAUAUUGGACAAUGGGCGAAAGCCUGAUCCAGCCAUGCCGCGUGUGUGAAGAAGGUCUUCGGAUUGUAAAGCACUUUAAGUUGGGAGGAAGGGCAGUAAGUUAAUACCUUGCUGUCUUGACGUUACCAACAGAAUAAGCACCGGCUAACUUCGUG
rnacentral:rRNA from 1 species